AGAGUUUGAUCCUGGCUCAGAACGAACGCUGGCGGCAUGGAUUAGGCAUGCAAGUCGAACGAGAAACUCAAGCUUGCUUGAGUGGAAAGUGGCGAAAGGGUGAGUAACGCGUGAGUAAGCUGCCCCCAAGUUUGGAAUAGCCCCGGGAAACCGGGAUUAAUACCGGAUAAUGUUAAUUUACCGCAUGGUGAAUUAAUCAAAGAUUUAUCACUUGGGGAUGUGCUCGCGUUCCAUUACGCUUGUUGGUAGGGUAACGGCCUACCAAGGCUAUGACGGAUAGGUGGUCUGAGAGGAUGGUCACCCACACUGGGACUGAGACACUGCCCAGACUCCUACGGGAGGCUGCAGUCGAGAAUCUUCCGCAAUGGGCGAAAGCCUGACGGAGCAAUGCCGCGUGUAGGAUGAAGGCCCUUGGGUCGUAAACUACUGUCACCGGGGAUGAAUAAUGACAGUACCCGGAGAGGAAGCCACGGCUAACUACGUGCCAGCAGCCGCGGUAAUACGUAGGUGGCGAGCGUUGUUCGGAUUUAUUGGGCGUAAAGGGUUCGUAGGUGGUUUAUCAAGUUUGAUGUGAAAUCCCGAGGCUCAACCUCGGAACUGCAUUGAAAACUGGUAGACUCGAGGAUCGGAGAGGAAAGCGGAAUUUCAGGUGUAGCGGUGGAAUGCGUAGAUAUCUGAAAGAACACCGACAGCGAAGGCAGCUUUCUGGACGACUCCUGACACUGAGGGACGAAAGCGUGGGUAGCGAACAGGAUUAGAUACCCUGGUAGUCCACGCCGUAAACGUUGUGUGCUUGGCCUGGGGGGAUUCAACCCCC
rnacentral:rRNA from 1 species